GAUGAACGCUGGCGGCGUGCCUAACACAUGCAAGUCGUACGAGCUCGAUCUUCGGAACGGGGUUAGUGGCGCACGGGUGAGUAACACGUAGGUGACCUACCCCAGAGUGGGGGAUAACUUCUCGAAAGAGAGGCUAAUACCGCAUACACUCGGUCAUUCAUUUGGCCGAGCAAAGCUCCGGCGCUUUGGGACGGGCCUGCGUCCGAUUAGCUAGUUGGUAGGGUAAUGGCUUACCAAGGCUUUGAUCGGUAGCUGGUCUGAGAGGACGAUCAGCCACACUGGCACUGACACACGGGCCAGACUCCUACGGGAGGCAGCAGUGAGGAAUAUUGGGCAAUGGGCGAAAGCCUGACCCAGCAACGCCGCGUGAGGGAUGAAGGCCUUCGGGUUGUAAACCGUC
rnacentral:rRNA from 1 species